GAUGAACGCUGGCGGCGUGCCUAAUACAUGCAAGUCGAGCGAACGGACGAGAAGCUUUCUUCUCUGAUGUUAGCGGCGGACGGGUGAGUAACACGUGGAUAACCUACCUAUAAGACUGGGAUAACUUCGGGAAACCGGAGCUAAUACCGGAUAAUAUUUUGAACCGCAUGGUUCAAAAGUGAAAGACGGUCUUGCUGUCACUUAUAGAUGGAUCCGCGCUGCAUUAGCUAGUUGGUAAGGUAACGGCUUACCAAGGCAACGAUGCAUAGCCGACCUGAGAGGGUGAUCGGCCACACUGAAACUGAGACACGGUCCAGACUCCUACGGGAGGCAGCAGUAGGGAAGCUUCCGCAAUGGGCGAAAGCCUGACGGAGCAGCGCCGCGUGAGUGAUGAAGGUCGUCGGAUCGUAAGACUCUGUUAUUAGGGAAGAACAUAUGUGUAAGUAACUGUGCACAUCUUGACGGUACCUAAUCAGAAAGCCACGGCUAACUUCGUG
rnacentral:rRNA from 1 species